AUUGAACGCUGGCGGCAUGCUUUACACAUGCAAGUCGAACGGUAACAGGGUGCUUGCACCGCUGACGAGUGGCGAACGGGUGAGUAAUGCGUCGGAACGUGCCGAGUAGUGGGGGAUAACGCAGCGAAAGUUGUGCUAAUACCGCAUACGUACUGAGGUAGAAAGUGGGGGACCUUCGGGCCUCACGCUAUUCGAGCGGCCGACGUCUGAUUAGCUAGUAGGUGAGGUAAAGGCUCACCUAGGCGACGAUCAGUAGCGGGUCUGAGAGGAUGAUCCGACACACUGGGACUGAGACACGGCCCAGAAUCCUACGGGAGGCAGCAGUGGGGAAUUUUGGACAAUGGGCGAAAGCCUGAUCCAGCCAUGCCGCGUGUCUGAAGAAGGCCUUCGGGUUGUAAAGGACCUUUGUCAGGGAGGAAAUCCCUAGUGCUAAUAACACUGGGGGAUGACAGUACCUGAAGAAUAAGCACCGGCUAACUACGUGCCAGCAGCCGCCGUAA
rnacentral:rRNA from 1 species